AUUGAACGCUGGCGGCAGGCCUAACACAUGCAAGUCGAACGAGUGGCGGACGGGUGAGUAAUGUCUGGGAAACUGCCCGAUGGAGGGGGAUAACUACUGGAAACGGUAGCUAAUACCGCAUACCAUCGGAUGUGCCCAGAUGGGUUUAGCUAGUAGGUGGGGUAAUGGCUCACCUAGGCGACGAUCCCUAGCUGGUCUGAGAGGAUGACCAGCCACACUGGAACUUAGACACGGUCCAGACUCCUACGUGAGGCAGCAGUGGGGAAUAUUGCACAAUGGGCGCAAGCCUGAUGCCUCCCUGCCGCGUGUAUGAAGAAGGCCUUCGGGUUGUAAAGUACUUUCAGCGAGGAGGCGUUACUCGCAGAAGAAGCACCGGCUAACUCCGUACCAGCAGCCGCGGUAAUAC
rnacentral:rRNA from 1 species